rnacentral:rRNA from 1 species
CUACGGGGUGCUGCAGGCGAGAAAACUUUGCAAUGUGCGAGAGCACGACAAGGUUAAUCCGAGUGGUUUGUGCUAAACGAACCUUUUGACAGUCCUAGAAACACUGUUGAAUAAGGGGUGGGCAAGUUCUGGUGUCAGCCGCCGCGGUAAAACCAGCACCUCAAGUGGUCAGGAUGAUUAUUGGGCCUAAAGCAUCCGUAGCCGGCUCUGUAAGUUUUCGGUUAAAUCUGUACGCUCAACGUACAGGCUGCCGGGAAUACUGCAGAGCUAGGGAGCGGGAGAGGUAGACGGUACUCGGUAGGAAGGGGUAAAAUCCUUUGAUCUAUUGAUGACCACCUGUGGCGAAGGCGGUCUACCAGAACACGUCCGACGGUGAGGGAUGAAAGCUGGGGGAGCAAACCGGAUUAGAUACCCUCGUAGUC